CAACCUGCCUAUAACUAGGGAAUAACCUUGCGAAAGUAAGACUAAUACCCUAUGAUUUCCUUUGAUGACAUCANAUUAGGAAUAAAGAUUUAUCGGUUAUANAUGGGAUGCGUCUGAUUAGCUUGUUGGCGGGGUAACGGCCCACCAAGGCAACGAUCANUAGGGGUUCUGANAGGAAGGUCCCCCACAUUGGAACUGANACACGGUCCAAACUCCUACGGGAGGCAGCAGUGAGGAAUAUUGGUCAAUGGGCGGAAGCCUGAACCAGCCAAGUAGCGUGCAGGAUGACGGCCCUAUGGGUUGUAAACUGCUUUUAUACAGGAAUAAAGUUAGCCACGUGUGGUUAUUUGUAGGUACUGUAUGAAUAAGGACCGGCUAAUUCCGUGCCANCAGCCGCGGUAAUACGGAAGGUCCAGGCGUUAUCCGGAUUUAUUGGGUUUAAAGGGAGCGUAGGCCGUCUGUUAAGCGUGUUGUGAAAUGUAGAUGCUCAACAUCUGAAUUGCAGCGCGAACUGGCAGACUUGANUGUGCGCAACGUANGNGGAAUUCNUGGUGUAGCGGUGAAAUGCUUANAUAUCACGAAGANNUCCNAUUG
rnacentral:rRNA from 1 species